GUGAAUCAUCGAAUUUUUGAACGCAAAUUGCGCUUCCUAGCAUCCCGGGAAGUAUGCCUGUUUGAGGGUCAGUAUCAACAAAAAAUCGGGUUGGUUGCAAAUUGUGACGUUUCCGGAGUUUGGGCGAUCGUAACUUUUUUGGUUAAGUGGCUUAAAAUUGUCCUUGUUUGCUCAUCUUUGGACGUACAUGAAUUUUUUUUUAUUCGUCUAUUCUUAAUGCCAAAAUCGUAUUAGAUUCGAUCUCAGCGUGUGG
rnacentral:misc_RNA from 1 species